rnacentral:rRNA from 1 species
GAUGAACGCUGGCGGCGUGCCUAAUCCAUGCAAGCAGAACCCUGCAGGAGGAGCUUGCUCUUCUGGAUGAGUUGCGAACGGGUGAGUAACGCGUAGGUAACCUGCCUGGUAGCGGGGGAUAACUAUUGGACACGAUAGCUAAUACCGCAUGACAACAGUUAUUGCAUGAUAACUGUUUAAAAGGGGCAACUGCUCCACUACCAGAUGGACCUGCGUUGUAUUAGCUAGUUGGUGAGGUAACGGCUCACCAAGGCGACGAUACAUAGCCGACCUGAGAGGGUGAUCGGCCACACUGGGACUGAGACACGGCCCAGACUCCUACGGGAGGCAGCAGUAGGGAAUCUUCGGCAAUGGACGGAAGUCUGACCGAGCAACGCCGCGUGAGUGAAGAAGGUUUUCGGAUCGUAAAGCUCUGUUGUAAGAGAAGAACGAGUGUGAGAGUGGAAAGUUCACACUGUGACGGUAUCUUACCAGAAAGGGACGGCUAACUACGUG